UUGAAAUUAGGAUUAGAUACCCUAUUAUUGAAAAUGUAAAUAUAAAUGCCCGAGUAGUGUUAGUUUUGGUCUUGUAAUUCAAAGAGUUUGGCGGUAUUUCAGUCUAUUUAGAGGAACCUGUCCUAUAAUUGAUGAUACUCCAGUAAUUUCACUUUUUUUAAAGGUGUUUAUAUCUUCGUCGGUUGAUUGUCUUAAAAGAGUUAGGAAAAUUCAGGAUUCAUUUAACUAUAAAGAAAAUCAGAUCAAGAUACAGCAAUAAAUAAGAAGAGGAUGGGUUACAAUAAAUCUAUUUAUAUGGUUAAAAUACUGAACAGUAUUUUAUAAAGCGGAUUCCAUAGUAAUAUAAUUAAGUUAAAUCAUAUGAUUUAGCUCCCCCAAUAUACACAUCUCGGCCCCGGCUUCCCG
rnacentral:rRNA from 1 species